UACGUAGGGCGCAAGCGUUGUCCGGAAUUAUUGGGCGUAAAGAGCUCGUAGGCGGCUUGUCACGUCGGGUGUGAAAGCCCGGGGCUUAACCCCGGGUCUGCAUUCGAUACGGGCUGGCUAGAGUGUGGUAGGGGAGAUCGGAAUUCCUGGUGUAGCGGUGAAAUGCGCAGAUAUCAGGAGGAACACCGGUGGCGAAGGCGGAUCUCUGGGCCAUUACUGACGCUGAGGAGCGAAAGCGUGGGGAGCGAAACAGG
rnacentral:rRNA from 1 species